rnacentral:rRNA from 1 species
AUGAACGCUGGCGGCGUGCCUAAUACAUGCCGGUCGAGCGAACAGACGAGGAGCUUGCUCCUCUGACGUUAGCGGCGGACGGGUGAGUAACACGUGGAUAACCUACCUAUAAGACUGGGAUAACUUCGGGAAACCGGAGCUAAUACCGGAUAAUAUAUUGAACCGCAUGGUUCAAUAGUGAAAGACGGUUUUGCUGUCACUUAUAGAUGGAUCCGCGCCGCAUUAGCUAGUUGGUAAGGUAACGGCUUACCAAGGCAACGAUGCGUAGCCGACCUGAGAGGGUGAUCGGCCACACUGGAACUGAGACACGGUCCAGACUCCUACGGGAGGCAGCAGUAGGGAAUCUUCCGCAAUGGGCGAAAGCUUGACGGAGCAACGCCGCGUGAGUGAUGAAGGUCUUCGGAUCGUAAAACUCUGUUAUUAGGGAAGAACAAAUAUGUAAGUAACUAUGCACGUCUUGACGGUACCUAAUCAGAAAGCCACGGCUAACUACGUG